rnacentral:rRNA from 1 species
UACGUAGGGGGCAAGCGUUGUCCGGAAUUAUUGGGCGUAAAGAGCGCGCAGGCGGUCGUCCAAGUCGCGUGUGAAAGCCCCCGGCUCAACUGGGGAGGGUCACGCGAUACUGGUCGACUCGAAGGCAGGAGAGGGUAGUGGAAUUCCCGGUGUAGUGGUGAAAUGCGUAGAUAUCGGGAGGAACACCAGUGGCGAAGGCGACUACCUGGCCUGUUCUUGACGCUGAGGCGCGAAAGCUAGGGGAGCAAACGGG